UACAGGGGGGGCAAGCGUUGUUCGGAAUUACUGGGCGUAAAGGGCCAGUAGGCGGCCGACUAAGUCCGACGUGAAAUCCCCAGGCUUAACCUGGGAACUGCGUCGGAUACUGGUGGGCUUGAAUUCGGGAGAGGGAUGCAGAAUUCCGGGUGUAGCGGUGGAAUGCGUAGAGAUCCGGAAGAACACCGGUGGCGAAGGCGGCCCGCUGGGCAACUGCUGACACUGAUGCGCGACAGCGUGGGGAGCGAACAGG
rnacentral:rRNA from 1 species